UAAGAGCCGGUUGAUUUGGAUCCCUUCUCUGCAAGUGGGCAUUCUGUUGUUGCAAUAGCCGAAGUCUCAUCAGGUGUUCCCUUGACUUCAUCUAGUGCACCACAAAGAAUUCCAUAAAUACAAAAGCAUAUACAAUGAGCAGCACACGUGACUUGACAUCCAUUAAACUUGAUACAUAGAAUGCAGACAUCACAUUCACAUUUCAUAGAUACAAAAAAAAAGACAGUAGCAUUCACAUCAGUAAAUUACACAUAGUAUCCAUGUUACAUCCUAAUUAAGUGUAAGUGCACUUAGACAGCUAGUCACACUACAGGUCAGUUUUACUUUGCCAGAUUAUGCAUGCCACAUUCCACUUAAAAAUAGUUAAUGCAUCCUGUAGGGGUUAAUGCUCAUUUAACAAAAUAUCAACACGAAGCACUCAUUCAAGUGCACCAAAUUAAUAGUACCAUAAUCUGUAUGGUUAAUGUUCAAACACAGAUAAGAAAUCAUAUUGCCAAAUGCAUGCGCAUAUACCACUGAUAUCUUUGCAGCAGCAUUUGCCUGCCAUUUUACACAUUAAAUUAGAUUAAGCAUGUGAAGCAGUUAGACAUGCUUCUCCAUUUUCACAACAAAAUCGACCAGGUUACAGACAGGCAGCAAAGUAAGCAAGCGAGCAAGCAAUGUUUCUAGCGAAUCCAGUGGCCAAACAGCCGAGCCAAGCAGCCAAAAGUACAAGAUAAGAGCAUGCAAACUUCUCUCUGGAAGAACACAAAAAACUUAGAUCGGCGUCGACCACAACGGAAACCACGGGUGUCUAGCACCUAAGCGACCACCGAUAACUAGUGGAAGCACGUAGGAGGAGAAGCGACGGGCAUCCAUCCACACGAGAACAUCAUUGCUACGCGCUAUAGUUUUGCACAUAUAAGUGAAGAUAAAGAAAAUCAGCGCCUUCAGCGGCUUAUCUGAUUGAGCUUGCAUGGAUCGUAUAUGGCGACUGCACAUGGUAUGCACAGACUACGCGCUAUAGUAUGCACAAACUACUUCUUUAUGCAAAAAGCACCGGUAAUAUAUGGCGACUGCACAUAUGUCAACUACUUUAUGCAAUGCCCCACGGCCGUUUCUCAAAUUGUACUUAUCUAACAGCAAUGCCCCAUAGUCGUUUCAAACUCAUCAUACAUAGUGAUGCAUGUGGGUAUUCAGGAACAAUCAGAAGUGGAGCAAUGAUGGGCUACAACAGGUUCAGUUUGAUAGUUCGUACAUUCACUUUUGUUAACGACCUCCAAAUUAAUCUCAAUCAUGUCUGAAUAUGUGCAGUGCAGAUGAACGUGCACUAACAAUGCAGAAGAUACAGUCUAACAAUGACACGAUUUGGCUUCAUACCUUUUUGUCCACCCAGGGGCCUGUGGAUAGACUCUGCCCGACCUCGUCGGGGAUGUAUCCGGGCAACAGCGCACUUCAGCUUGUGCCAUAUCAGUGCCAACUCCGGCUCUGCUGUUCGCCAGCAAGACCAUACGAAC
rnacentral:lncRNA from 1 species